GGGAUACAAAUUUGUAUCCAGAUCAUGAAGUACGUGGAAUCACUGAGUAUCAUGUAACAGAUUUGAAGCUUAUUACAUAGGCAAUGGGCAGUCAAAGGUUGUGGAAUGGGGUGAGAGAGGGAAGUAAUCCAAAUUUUCUUUCUUACUCUUAGAGUAUAAUUCAGUACAGAAGAGAGUGAGGAAAGACCAAAUGGACAAGCAAAUAGAAAGGAAGAGAAAAGUCCUACUUCUGGCAAGUUAGUAAGAAAGGUUUGAACCAGGACAGAAAUCAAAAGACAUGGGGGGGAAAAAGGCGUGGUGGAUUAUAUUUUCCAAAAAUCGCCAUAACAAUAUUUCCCAUCCCACAUGCUCUUCUGGAAACUUGUCACUCCUCAUGAAGAGGUAGGUUCUGUGACCCCUCCCCAUGAACCUGGGCAGGGCUUUGCGACUGCCUCAACUAAUAGAAUAUGACUGAAGUGAUGCUUUGUGACAUACAAGGCUAGGUCAUAAAAAGCGACAUAGCUUCUGCCUGGAUCUCUCUCUCUCAGGAUGCUUGUCCUUGGAAGCCAGCCAUUGUGCUGCAAGAAAGACUGGGUUACACAGAGAGGCCCAUGUGGAGAGAAACUGAGGCCCCUAGCCAUCAGCCCCAGCUGAGCUCCCUGCCGACAUGGAGCAUCAACUUAUUAGCCAGUGAACAAUCAUGAGAAAGUUCUAAAAGUUGAGCUCCGCAUGUUCAAAUGCCAGCAUUUGCCCAGGACCUCAUCCAAGACAAAGCCUACCACUAUCACAGGGCGGAGGAAGUGCACAAGGUCUUGGGUUCAUGCCAGAAUCAGAGUAAGGGAGCCUAUUUUCAACCGAGGAUCUUCCUCUGGCCUCUGAAGUCUGACCUAGACGAGCUGGAGAGCCCCAGGCAGAACUGUCUGCAGACCUCACCUCAGCUACCCCAGACAGUGGCCCCAGAGUGCAGGACACAGCUUGAAGGGACUUGUGUUGGCCAGAAGUGUCUGUUCUACAUGGACUUCCAGGGACAGCUAUAUGGAUGGAGAUAUCUCAUCUUGGCACUAUCAGCUUACCCUGGCCUUGGCAACGUGGUACCAAGCGACUAGAGUCCCACUGGGCUGCUUCCCCCUCACUGUGACUCUUACGUCCCAAAGUUCUUGUUACUGAAGCCCAAUUUCCAGGAACUGGCUCUGAUCUGAUUCAUGGGCUGCACAUAAGCUGCACAUUUCAGAUGUGUGAUGUGGUCCCAAUCUCGUCUUCCGUGGGUACCUCUGAAGUUUGGUGCUGCAUUCAGAGGGCGAGGGGUGGAGCCAAACUGUGUUGGCUCGUCUUCCACAGCUUGGAAUUUCCUAGCUAUGUGACCCUGGGGAAGUUACUUAACUCCUCCAUGUUCUCAGUUUCUUCAUCACAGGCUCGUUGUGAAGGUUAAAUACAUCAAUACAUGUAAACUGCUUUGAACCUUGCCAGGUACACAAAAUGCCAAAUUAACAUCGACUGUUAUUAUGCUUCAGCCACAUUGGCCUCCUGUUACCUACAAUACACCAUACUCCUCUCUACCUCAGAACUUUCACACAUGUGACUCCUCUCUACCUGGAAUCUUCCUUGCUCAUUCUUUUCCUUCAGGUCCCAAGUUAAACGGCACUUUGUCAGGGAGGCCAUUCCUGACCCAUCCAAGUUCCAGGUUAAGUCUCUUCUAAUACGUUCCUGUAACUCCCUGCAUAUCAGCCCAAUACUAAUCACAUUUGCAAUUUCUUGUUCAAUGACCAUCUUUCAGGCUAGACUACACACUCCAAAGGUAAGAAGGGGAUGCAUUUGUCUUAUUCAUUCUUGGACACCCAACACCCAGCACAGAGAUUACAAAUAAAUAUUUACAGGGUAAAUGAACCAACGGACUGUAAAGAGGGAAUUGGAGAAGGUUCGUGGAGGUGACAGUCCCAGACUUUGGGACAAGGUUACAUCCAAUAAUAAAAUUAAAAGACACAAAAUAAAGUAGAUUAGAUUAGCCACCUGGAGACCAGACAGCAAAUGAGUGGUUAGGGAGAUGGAGAAACAUCUAAGGCCCAGACAGGUUCGCCAGGAUGUACUGGCCUUUAGCGUUAGUUCUGCAAAACAAGGGAGCAGAAAGCUCAGCGGUGCAUUGAAUAAUAUUUUUGCCACCUGUAAGAAAUCAUCAUGGCAUGUAUCCCCAAAGCCUCCCUCUCCAAAGGGAGCAGAGGAUCCAAGUUGCCUGGAUAAUGUUAGUAACGCCUCCUUUUGGUACAUGCCUGAAGAACAGUGGUUCUCCCAUGAUGUUGCUUUUGCUCACUUCUUUAUUUGGCUGAGGGUGGGAGGAGCCAAGUAGGUUAGCAACACAUGCCCAAGAAGGAGGAGAGAGGAAAAGAUGUGUUCAUGGCUAGCACACAGCCCCUUCCUUCCCCUAAUCCUCCUUCAGAGUAGAACAUAGCUCAGCAUUAAAUAUUAAAUAAGUGAACUUGCUCAGUGCUCCAAUCACCCACAGCACAGCUUCUACAACACACUCACACAUUUCGAAGCCUCCUAAUUAACCAGAGGAAGCUAGAACUUCAUGGCGUUGUAGACAGCUCUAACGAGCUUGUUUUACAGGAGUUAAAGAAAUGUGUUGAUUGGAAAGUCGGGAGCACUAACGAUAAAAGACAAUGGACCCAAUACAUGGAGGCCAUUCUGUCUGUCCUGGAAGGAGAAAGAAGUUAGGGAAGUAAAGUUGGUCUACUGGGAGACUGGUGCCUUUCUCCAGAAUGACAGCCUCAAAACUGACUUCAUCGAACUGUCUUUACAGACUCUUAUUUGGGCAGAUCAGGAAGGUCCCUACACCUGCGUUCUAGCUUUGGUUUCUCAGACUCUGCCAGGUGGGACAGGUCCUGAGGAGCGAUGGGACGAGGAGUGCAGGGAGAAAGGGAGCAGAGAGGCCUGUGACAGCCUUCAUGCCCGUGCAGAGAGGAGAGAAUCCGUCCCCCUUGUUUCUUCACAGUGGGAAAGAAGGGAGAAAGAUCUGCAAAUUAAUCCAUUGUGACAACCUUUGUGAAGAACCUCACUGUUUGAUCUUGAAAAGAUUUCAUAAUUCUUUUGAUGGCUUUGAGAAGAGAAGGGGUAAAAAGUUAACUUCCUUUUGGAUUCUCUUAUCAAGAGUAAAUAAAGUUCAACUUUGCAUGUUCUCUAGUUAGCAAGCUCCCCUUCCUGGGACCCAGAGAUCAAGUUUGUGAUUGAGAGAAUUCAAUAAACAUGAGGAAAUGUGACCCAUUUGGGAACAAAGAUCCCAAUGUGCUCAUCUCCAAAGGGAAUCUGACUCUCCCCUGAAACUGUCAUAAGCCUCGGCCAGAGAAAUAUUCCCACCUCUGCAGGCAGGCGCUGAGCAGUUGGGUGAGCCGGGCCUGACCCUAGGAUUGCAGUAUGCUUCCCUUUCCAAGAAAAUGACCUGGGCAGGAAGACGAGAUAAAUGAAGCCCCCGAUGAAUGAGCAAAGGGAAGUUAGCUGGCUUUCCAAACUGGGUUCUGCCAGUGUCCCUCUAAGUGACCUUGUCUAAAUUAUAUCUUCUUUCUAGGCCUCAGGUUCUCAUUCUGUACAAUGGGAUAACAACUUCACUCUUACCUUACUCACUGGUUCAGCAUUCAAGAUGCCAACAUUUCACCUGCCAUCAAGCUACACAGCUGCAAGCUACCAGCUUCUAAACAGAGGGCUCUGGCCUUCGGUCCCAGGUGGUACAGUAUCAAAUGACUGGUAUUUCCACUUGGUGCUUGCCUGAAAAAGGAAGUAAACUGGGGCUGGCGCCAUGGCGUAGUGGUUAAGUUCGUGCACUCUGCUUUGGUGGCCCACGGUUCACAAGUUCUGAUCCUGGGCAUGGACCUAGCACUGCUUAUCAAGCCACGCUGUGGCA